GGCGGCGUGCUUAACACAUGCAAGUCGAGCGGAAAGGCCCUUCGGGGUACUCGAGCGGCGAACGGGUGAGUAACACGUGAGUAACCUGCCCCUGACUCUGGGAUAAGCCCGGGAAACUGGGUCUAAUACCGGAUACGACACGCUUCCGCAUGGGAUGCGUGUGGAAAGUCUUUUCGGUUGGGGAUGGACUCGCGGCCUAUCAGCUUGUUGGUGGGGUAACGGCCUACCAAGGCGACGACGGGUAGCCGGCCUGAGAGGGCGACCGGCCACACUGGGACUGAGACACGGCCCAGACUCCUACGGGAGGCAGCAGUGGGGAAUAUUGCGCAAUGGGCGGAAGCCUGACGCAGCGACGCCGCGUGGGGGAUGACGGCCUUCGGGUUGUAAACCUCUUUCAGCAGGGACGAAGUUGACGUGUACCUGCAGAAGAAGCGCCGGCUAACUACGUGCCAGCAGCCGCGGUAAUACGUAGGGCGCAAGCGUUGUCCGGAAUUAUUGGGCGUAAAGAGCUCGUAGGUGGCUUGUCGCGUCGGAUGUGAAAGCUUGGGGCUUAACUCCAGGUCUGCAUUCGAUACGGGCUGGCUAGAGGUAGGCAGGGGAGAACGGAAUUCCUGGUGUAGCGGUGAAAUGCGCAGAUAUCAGGAGGAACACCGGUGGCGAAGGCGGUUCUCUGGGCCUUACCUGACGCUGAGGAGCGAAAGCGUGGGGAGCGAACAGGAUUAGAUACCCUGGUAGUCCACGCCGUAAACGUUGGGCGCUAGGUGUGGGGGACCUUCCACGGUUUCCGCGCCGUAGCUAACGCAUUAAGCGCCCCGCCUGGGGAGUACGGCCGC
rnacentral:rRNA from 3 species